GCGGAUCCGUCGCUUCCCGUCCUCUCUCUUGCUGAAAGGCACCGUCGGCCCAAUAUCAGCAUCAGCCGCCGAGGAAGAAGUUUGGGCUUCUCUUGGCCGCUGCCUUGCUAGAGGGAGAUUCAGUUUGCUAUAGACUUUGACCCAAGACUAGACUAGGAUUUCAUCACCGCGCUUUGGAUUAGCAACACCAUUCAAGAUCUUCCUAGGAAGUGUGUGAAAAACAAACUUGAUCAUAAGAAUGUUCAAUACCAACAAAAGGCAGGCUCCUACUGCAUUGGUUGUGAUUUGGAUGACUUUGUGUUGACCAAUUUGU